GAUCAGGGCCUUUCUAAGUAGA
rnacentral:miRNA from 1 species